UACGUAGGGACCAAGCGUUGUUCGGAUUUACUGGGCGUAAAGGGCGCGUAGGCGGCGUGUUAAGUCAGUUGUGAAAUCUCUGAGCUUAACUCAGAACGGUCAAGUGAUACUGAUGUGCUAGAGUGCAGAAGGGGCAACCGGAAUUCUUGGUGUAGCGGUGAAAUGCGUAGAUAUCAAGAGGAACACCUGAGGUGAAGACGGGUUGCUGGGCUGACACUGACGCUGAGGCGCGAAAGCUAGGGUAGCAAACGGG
rnacentral:rRNA from 1 species